rnacentral:rRNA from 1 species
ACUCAUAUUGAAACCUAGUGAUGUAUGAGUUAGUGGCGGACGGCUGAGUAACGCGUGGAGAACCUGCCGUAUACUGGGGGAUAACACUUAGAAAUAGGUGCUAAUACCGCAUAAGCGCACAGCUUCGCAUGAAGCAGUGUGAAAAACUCCGGUGGUAUACGAUGGAUCCGCGUCUGAUUAGCUUGUUGGCGGGGUAAAGGCCCACCAAGGCGACGAUCAGUAGCCGGCCUGAGAGGGUGAACGGCCACAUUGGGACUGAGACACGGCCCAAACUCCUACGGGAGGCAGCAGUGGGGAAUAUUGCACAAUGGGGGAAACCCUGAUGCAGCGACGCCGCGUGAGUGAAGAAGUAUUUCGGUACGUAAAGCUCUAUCAGCAGGGAAGAAAAUGACGGUACCUGACUAAGGAGCCCCGGCUAACUACGUGCCAGCAGCCGCGGUAAUACGUAGGGGGCAAGCGUUAUCCGGAUUUACUGGGUGUAAAGGGAGCGUAGACGGCAGCGCAAGUCUGGAGUGAAAUCCCAUGGCUUAACCAUGGAACUGCUUUGGAAACUGUGCAGCUGGAGUGCAGGAGAGGUAAGCGGAAUUCCUAGUGUAGCGGUGAAAUGCGUAGAUAUUAGGAGGAACACCAGUGGCGAAGGCGGCUUACUGGACUGUAACUGACGUUGAGGCUCGAAAGCGUGGGGAGCAAACAGGAUUAGAUACCCUGGUAGUCCACGCUGUAAACGAUGAUUACUAGGUGUUGGGGGACCAAGGUCCUUCGGUGCCGUCGCAAACGCAUUAAGUAAUCCACCUGG